CAGUCGCCGCGGGAAUACGAAGGGGGCUAGCGUUGCUCGGAAUGACUGGGCGUAAAGGGCGCGUAGGCGGCAUGUACAGUCAGACGUGAAAUUCCUGGGCUUAACCUGGGGGCUGCGUUUGAUACGUGCAGGCUAGAGUGGGGAAGAGGGUUGUGGAAUUCCCAGUGUAGAGGUGAAAUUCGUAGAUAUUGGGAAGAACACCGGUGGCGAAGGCGGCAACCUGGUCCUUGACUGACGCUGAGGCGCGAAAGCGUGGGGAGCAGACAGGAUUAGAUACCCGCGUAGUCCCUGUCUCUUAUAC
rnacentral:rRNA from 1 species